UACGUAGGGUGCAAGCGUUGUCCGGAAUUAUUGGGCGUAAAGAGCUCGUAGGCGGUCUGUCACGUCGGCUGUGAAAUCCCGAGGCUCAACCUCGGGUCUGCAGUCGAUACGGGGCAAACUAGAGUAUUGCAGGGGAGACUGGAAUUCCUGGUGUAGCGGUGAAAUGCGUAGAUAGUCACUCGGAAGGCCAAACGGCGAAGCAGGUCACUGGUGCGACACGUGACGCUGGAGGCACGAAAGCGUGGGGAGCAAACAGG
rnacentral:rRNA from 1 species